UCUCUUUCUCUCUUUCUCUCUUUCUCUCUCUCUCUCUCUCUCUCUCUCUCUCUCUCUCUCUCUCUCUCUCUCUCUCUCUCUCUCUCUCUCUCUCUCUCUCUCUCUCUCUCUCUCUCUCUCUCUCUGAGAGAGAGAGAAGAGCGAGAGGGAGAGAAAAUGAAAAUGAAUUAUCCGAUUGAAUGAUUGUUUCUCCAUUGCUCUAUCUAUCUAUUACAUUGAAAAUACUUCUGUAAUGAGAGUCAGCUGUGCGAAGAGGGAGGGAGAUAAAAAAAAGAAGAAGAAAUAUUAGACGCAAAAUAAGAUAAAUAUGGGAAGAGGGCAUUGCAAGACGGGAAAUUGGAAGGACGUAAGAUGAGGUAGAAAUAUAUGGGAUAUGGUAAUGAGAUAUUAAAAGUUGAUUUAAUAGAAAUGUAUGUGAUGUGAUAAAGUAUGUGAUGUGAUAAAGAUAUUAAAAGUUGGUUUAAUAGAAAUGUAUGUGAUAUGAUAAAGUAUGUGAUAUGAUAUUAAAAGUUGGUUUAAGAUAAAGGAUGGCAUUGUGUUAUAAAUAGACGAAACGAGGAGAGAUGAGAAAUGAGAAGAGAAAAACAAAAACAAGAACAAAGAAAAGUGAGACAGAGUGGUAUGAGAAGAGACAAGAUGAGACGAGACGGAAAGAGAAGAGGAGAGAA